rnacentral:rRNA from 1 species
CCUACGGGUGGCAGCAGUAGGGAAUCUUUCACAAUGGGCGAAAGUCUGAUGCAGCAACGUCGCGUGCAGGAUGACGGCCCUCGGGUUGUAAACCUCUUUUUUAAUCGAGAUAUGUGAUGGUACCUUAUGAAUAAGUAUCGGCUAACUACGUGCCAGCAGCCGCCGUCUUACGUAGGAUCCGAGCAUUAUCCGGAGUGACUGGGUGUAAUGAGUUGCGUAGGUGGGAUAGUAAGUAGCGAGUGCAAUCUGGUGGCUCAACCAUUCAGACUCUUGGCUAAACUGCUAAGCUCGAGACCGUUCAGGGUAACUGGAAUUUAUGGUGUAGGAGUGAAAUGCGUAGAUAUUAGGAGGAACACCGAUAGCGUAGGCAGGUUACUGGGACGGUACUGACGCUAAGGCACGAAAGCGUAGGGAGCAAACGGGAUUAGAUACCCCGGUAGUC